UCUCCGUACAUACGUAGGUUUCUACGUCGACAUUUGACCAUUCUGUCUUAUUUAAAUUUUUUUAUUGUGAUUAACAUUUUUAUUGUUAUUGGAUGAUAAAACAUAAAUAAUACUUUAUGCGUAAACUUUUUAUUUUUUUUUCUUGAAUUUUUAAAAUAAGACGGAUGGUCAAACAUUGGACACGGAACCUACAUCUGCACUUAAA
rfam:Oryza glumipatula chromosome 2, whole genome shotgun sequence.